UACGUAGGGUGCGAGCGUUGUCCGGAAUUACUGGGCGUAAAGAGCUCGUAGGUGGUUUGUCGCGUCGUUUGUGUAAGUCCACGGCUUAACUGUGGGAUGGCAGGCGAUACGGGCAUAACUUGAGUGCUGUAGGGGAGACUGGAAUUCCUGGUGUAGCGGUGAAAUGCGCAGAUAUCAGGAGGAACACCGAUGGCGAAGGCAGGUCUCUGGGCAGUAACUGACGCUGAGGAGCGAAAGCAUGGGUAGCAAACAGG
rnacentral:rRNA from 1 species